rnacentral:rRNA from 1 species
UGCGUAGGCGGGUCUUUAAGUCAGAGGUGAAAUCCUGGAGCUCAACUCCAGAACUACCUUUGAUACUGAAGAUCUUGAGUUCGGGAGAGGUGAGUGGAACUGCGAGUGUAGAGGUGAAAUUCGUAGAUAUUCGCAAGAACACCAGUGGCGAAGGCGGCUCACUGGCCCGAUACUGACGCUGAGGCACGAAAGCGUGGGGAGCAAACA